AGAGUUUGAUCAUGGCUCAGGACGAACGCUGGCGGCGUGCCUUACACAUGCAAGUCGUGCGAGAACGGUUCCUUCGGGAACUCAGUAGAGCGGCGAACGGGUGAGUAAUACGUGAGCGAUCUGCCCGAGGGUGGGGGAUACCCCAGGGAAACCUGGACCAAUACCGCGUACAGCGUCGGGAGUGGGUGCCCGACGUGAAAGCCGGCCUCUUCCAUGCUGGCGCCUUCGGAUGAGCUCGCGGCCUAUCAGCUUGUUGGUGGGGUAACGGCCUACCAAGGCUAUGACGGGUAGCUGACGUGAGAGCGUGAUCAGCCACAUUGGGACUGAGACACGGCCCAGACUCCUACGGGAGGCAGCAGUGGGGAAUAUUGCGCAAUGGGCGAAAGCCUGACGCAGCGACGCCGCGUGGGGGAGGAAGGCCCUAGGGUUGUAAACCCCUGUCAGGUGGGACGAACACCUUGUCGGAUAAUACCCGGCAGGACUGACGGUACCACCAGAGGAAGCUCCGGCUAACUCCGUGCCAGCAGCCGCGGUAAUACGGAGGGAGCGAGCGUUGUUCGGAAUUACUGGGCGUAAAGGGCGCGUAGGCGGCCUCGUAAGUCGGGUGUGAAAGGCCGGGGCUCAACCCCGUGCACUGCACCCGAUACUGCAUGGCUAGAGAAAGGUAGAGGCGAGCGGAAUUCCCGGUGUAGCGGUGGAAUGCGUAGAUAUCGGGAAGAACAUCUGCGGCGAAGGCGGCUCGCUGGGCCUUUUCUGACGCUGAAGCGCGAAAGCGUGGGGAGCAAACAGGGAUUAGAUACCCUGGUAGUCCACGCCGUAAACGCUGGGCACUAGGUGUCGGGAGGCUUGGGUCCUUUCGGUGCCGCAGCUAACGCAUUAAGUGCCCCGCCUGGGGAUUACGCCGCAAGGCUGAAACUCAAAGGAAUUUGACGGGGGCCG
rnacentral:rRNA from 1 species